UACAGAGGUCUCAAGCGUUGUUCGGAUUCAUUGGGCGUAAAGGGUGCGUAGGCGGCGCGGUAAGUCGGAUGUGAAAUCUCGGAGCUUAACUCCGAAACUGCAUUCGAUACUGCCGUGCUUGAGGACUGGAGAGGAGACUGGAAUUUACGGUGUAGCGGUGAAAUGCGUAGAUAUCGUAAGGAAGACCAGUGGCGAAGGCGGGUCUCUGGACAGUUCCUGACGCUGAGGCACGAAGGCCAGGGGAGCAAAACGGGG
rnacentral:rRNA from 1 species